CCUACGGGAGGCUGCAGUGAGGAAUAUUGGUCAAUGGGCGCGAGCCUGAACCAGCCAAGUCGCGUGAGGGAUGACGGUCCUACGGAUUGUAAACCUCUUUUGCCGGGGAGCAAGCGUGCGUUCGUGAACGCGCGUCGAGAGUACCCGGAGAAAAAGCAUCGGCUAACUCCGUGCCAGCAGCCGCGGUAAUACGGAGGAUGCGAGCGUUAUCCGGAUUUAUUGGGUUUAAAGGGUGCGUAGGCGGGUUAUCAAGUCAGCGGUAAAAUCGUGGAGCUCAACUCCAUCCAGCCGUUGAAACUGAUGAUCUUGAGUGGGCGAGAAGUAUGCGGAAUGCGUGGUGUAGCGGUGAAAUGCAUAGAUAUCACGCAGAACUCCGAUUGCGAAGGCAGCAUACCGGCGCCCGACUGACGCUGAAGCACGAAAGCGUGGGUAUCGAACAGGAUUAGAUACCCUAGUAGUC
rnacentral:rRNA from 1 species